UAUUAUGCUGCUGGCUAGAAACAAUAGCUUAUUUUUCCCUCAACAACUAGUAAAGUUCAUUUUAUAAAACACAAAAGCUAGAAGAAAUGGAAAACUGCAGAUGAUUCUACCAGCCAGGGCUCAUCAUGGAUUCGGAAACUUCAGAUACGAAAUAUCCCGCCUCAUUUACAGUGGGAGUGAACACUGACUCGGAAACUGCAGUUGUAAAUGUAACCUAUUCCAGUAAGGACCAAGCUAGACAAGCACUAGACAAACUGAAUGGAUUUCAGUUAGAGAAUUUCACCUUGAAAGUAGCCUAUAUCCCUGAUGAAAUGGCCGCCCAGCAAAACCCCUUGCAGCAGCCCCGAGGUCGCCGGGGGCUUGGGCAGAGGGGCUCAUCAAGGCAGGGGUCUCCAGGAUCUGUGUCCAAGCAGAAACCAUGUGAUUUGCCUCUGCGCCUGCUGGUUCCCACCCAGUUUGUUGGAGCCAUCAUAGGAAAAGAAGGUGCCACCAUUCGGAACAUCACCAAACAGACCCAGUCUAAAAUCGAUGUCCACCGUAAAGAAAAUGCAGGGGCUGC
rnacentral:sRNA from 1 species